UACGUAGGGUGCAAGCGUUGUCCGGAAUUAUUGGGCGUAAAGAGCUCGUAGGCGGUUUGUCGCGUCUGCCGUGAAAGUCCGGGGCUCAACUCCGGAUCUGCGGUGGGUACGGGCAGACUAGAGUGAUGUAGGGGAGACUGGAAUUCCUGGUGUAACGGUGAAAUGUGUUGAUAUCAGGAGGAACACCCAUGGCGAAGGCAGCAAACUGGGCAUUAACUGACGCUGAGGCGCGAAAGCGUGGGUAG
rnacentral:rRNA from 1 species